rnacentral:rRNA from 1 species
UACGAAGGGGGCUAGCGUUGCUCGGAAUCACUGGGCGUAAAGGGUGCGUAGGCGGGUUUUUAAGUCAGAGGUGAAAUCCUGGAGCUCAACUCCAGAACUGCCUUUGAUACUGAAAGUCUUGAGUAUGGGAGAGGUGAGUGGAACUGCGAGUGUAGAGGUGAAAUUCGUAGAUAUUCGCAAGAACACCAGUGGCGAAGGCGGCUCUCUGGGUCCCUACCGACGCUGGGGUGCGAAAGCGUGGGGAGCGAUCCGG